UUUUCACACAAAAAUCCAUGUGAAACUGUGAAUCCUUAUCAAUAACUUUCCCCGAAUUCCCAUUUAACUUCAUUAAUUCCAGUUUAGACUUUUGAUGCCUUCUCGUUUAUCCUCACCAAAAACCCCAGACCUCAUUCACCAUGAUUUCUCUCUCUAAACCCUCCCAAUGGCCCUCAAACACCCAAUCCCUCACCCUCCUCCGACUCUUCUGCACCGAUACCCCAACCGAAUCUCCACCCGACCCGCAAACCCCAAGAGCUAGGCAGUUGCGUUGGGUUCGGAGCCCGGAAAAGCCUGAGUCUCCCAUUUUCUGAAACUUCCAAAUGUUUUGGUCAAUUUGAUUUUCAGAUGCAACUGAUUUCACUUUGUAUUAUUUGCAUGGAUCUUAGAUAUGCAAGUAAGGGCAUCUCUGUGGAUGUUGAAUACAUCAAUUUGCAUUGAUCUUAAGUGGAUCUCUGGGCAAACGAAGAAACAGUUUUUUUUUUAGGAGAUUGAGAGAUUUGGGUUAUCACUUCGGCUCUGGUCAGGCAUCAAAUCCCCUUUGCAUCUGGAUUCAUUAGAUGCAAACAAAGACUCAAUCUCUACAUAACACAGGUUGGAUCUCAAGAUUAUUCCUUCAAGAUAUGGAGAAUGACCAUGAAGAACAAGCUUUCAAGAUCUGCAGAAUCACCAUGAAGAACAAAAAAAUAAUCACAGGAGUGAAUCUGUGCUGGAGGUCGUCGGACA